GGAUGGAGCCUAUGCAAUGCGAGGGUGUGAACCUUGUCAGGGCCGGAAGGCAGCAGCAAUAAGCAUUGUAUCGUAUGUGCCGUGGGAUAAUCUGCCCCGA
rnacentral:SRP_RNA from 1 species